GAUGAAGAACGCAGCGAAAUGCGAUACGUAGUGUGAAUUGCAGAAUUCAGUGAAUCAUCGAAUCUUUGAACGCACAUUGCACCUCUCGGUAUUCCGGGAGGUAUGCCUGUUCGAGCGUCAUUUGUACCCUCAAGCUCUGCUUGGUGUUGGGUGUUUGUUCCGCCUCUGUGUGUGAACUCGCCUCAAAACAAUUGGCAGCCGGCGUACUUGUUUCGGAGCGCAGCACAUUUGCGAUCCAGAUCAACGUACAGCGGCAUCCAAGAAGCCUUAUUUAACGCUCUUGACCUCGGAUCAGGUAGGGAUACCCGCUGAACUUAAGCAUAUCAAUAAGCGGAGGA
rnacentral:misc_RNA from 1 species